rnacentral:rRNA from 1 species
UAGGGAAUCUUCCGCAAUGGGCGAAAGCCUGACGGAGCAACGCCGCGUGAGUGAUGAAGGUCUUCGGAUCGUAAAACUCUGUUAUUAGGGAAGAACAAAUGUGUAAGUAACUAUGCACGUCUUGACGGUACCUAAUCAGAAAGCCACGGCUAACUACGUGCCAGCAGCCGCGGUAAUACGUAGGUGGCAAGCGUUAUCCGGAAUUAUUGGGCGUAAAGAGCGCGUAGGCGGUUUUUUAAGUCUGAUGUGAAAGCCCACGGCUCAACCGUGGCGGGUCAUUGAAAGCUAGAAAACUUGAGUGCAGAAGAGGAAAGUGGAAUUCCAGGUGUAGCGGUGAAAUACGCAGAGAUAUGGAGGAACACCAGUGGCGAAGGCGACUUUCUGGUCUGUAACUGACGAUGAUGUGCGAAAGCGUGGGGAUCAAACAGG